rnacentral:lncRNA from 1 species
AGUACUGACCCCAAUCCAUCAAUUAGUUGGACAUUAAUUGCAUUUUUUCCCACUGACUUCAGGAGCUGUGGAUCAAACCAAAUGUGGUAGACUGCAUGAAAUCAGAUCUCUGUUGCUGAAGCCAAGGACUUUCAUAGGUGUUUCCUGGAGCAGGUUCUCUUUGUGAGAGAAGAGGCAGCUUUGGGCUUUGAGCACUGAGUCUUGUCUGG